UACGUAGGCAGCAAGCGUUGUUCGGAGUUACUGGGCGUAAAGGGCGCGUAGGCGGUGCACCAAGUCAGGCGUGAAAGCCCCGGGCUCAACCCGGGAACGGCGCUUGAGACUGGUGCGCUCGAGUUCGGGAGAGGACGGCGGAAUUCCCAGUGUAGAGGUGAAAUUCGUAGAUAUUGGGAAGAACACCGAUGGCGAAGGCAGCCGUCUGGACCGACACUGACGCUGAGGCGCGAAAGCGUGGGGAGCGAACAGG
rnacentral:rRNA from 1 species